UACGGAGGGGGCUAGCGUUGUUCGGAAUUACUGGGCGUAAAGCGCACGUAGGCGGCUUUGUAAGUUAGAGGUGAAAGCCCGGGGCUCAACUCCGGAAUUGCCUUUAAGACUGCAUCGCUAGAAUUGUGGAGAGGUAAGUGGAAUUCCGAAGUGUAGAGGUGAAAUUCGUAGAUAUUCGGAAGAACACCAGUGGCGAAGGCGACUUACUGGACACAUAUUGACGCUGAGGUGCGAAAGCGUGGGGAGCAAACAGG
rnacentral:rRNA from 1 species